UGGGGAAUUUUGCACAAUGGGGGAAACCCUGAUGCAGCGACGCCGCGUGAUUUAGAAGGCCUUCGGGUUGUAAAAAUCUUUUCUAUGGGAAGAAAAUGACAGUACCAUAGGAAUAAGGACCGGCUAAUUACGUGCCAGCAGCCGCGGUAAUACGUAAGGUCCGAGCGUUGUCCGGAAUCAUUGGGCGUAAAGGGUACGUAGGCGGUUAAGCAAGUUAGAAGUGAAAUCCUAUAGCUCAACUAUAGUAAGCUUUUAAAACUGCUCAUCUUGAGGUAUGGAAGGGAAAGUGGAAUUCCUAUUGUAGCGGUGAAAUGCGCAGAUAUUAGGAGGAAUCCCGGUGGCGAAGGCGACUUUCUUGCCAUAACCUGACGCUGAGGUACGAAAGCGUGGGUAGCAAACAGG
rnacentral:rRNA from 1 species